ensembl:lncRNA
GGAAGUCUCACUGAGGAAAGGACGCUUUGCCUCAGACCGGGACAAUCGGUAACUCCCGCCUGCUGUACAAAGUAUUGGGACUUCCCUGGCUGAUUGUGGUGUGGAUGUUAUCCACUUACCACUCUUCUUCAGCCUGAGUAUCAUCUACUAACUGCAUAUACUCAAUAUCUCCAUCUUCAGCUGACUCUGUGUGGCAAUAGGUAACCUGUGUGCACUGCUCUGGAGGAUUAACUUUGCCCCCAGGCUUCUGAGAGGGCUCAGUCACUGGAAGAUGCCAGCUGUUCAGAGUUCUGGAAUAUGAGGGGAAACCACGAGUUCUGCUACUGAGAGCGUUGCCACGGACCCGCACUAAUAAGGAAGAUGAUGAGAAACCGGUGGUUUCCGUGCAGCUGACGCGGGUGCCACGGAAAACGACUGACACGGCGCAAGUGGCAGGGCGGUCGGCGGGAAAGCGCCAACGCCGGGUGUGCGACCGACCAAGACACAUCCCUUUCGGCCAAAGGAUAGGUAGUCCUUGGGAAACACUUGCUGGUAGAUGGAGAAAACCCCCGCCCCCGCCCCCAUGUGUGGAGCGCCAAUCAGAGACGCAAUCACAAAACUCUGUCCCAGAGAGCUCACAGUGCUGGGAUCCAGCAAGCGCCCACGGGAAGCAACCUUAGCCGUGCUGCCACCCAGAAACAUCCGGCUACAUAAAACUAGCGGGACUACCAUCGACGAAUUACAGGCUGGGCGAAAAUAGCGGAUAGUUUUUGAUUUCCCGGGCUCAUGGGCAAACAAGGAAACUGCAAGUAACAAGCGACCGCACACUGCAAGGAGAAACUUCGGGAGAAAGAGAAAAAUUUGCAAUGCACACCGAAGACACAUCUUAAUGCAUUUUUUAAAAAGAUUUUAUUUUUUCCUUUUUCUCCCCAAAGCCCCCCGGUACAUAGUUGUGUAUUCUUCGUUGUGAGUCCUUCUAGUUGUGGCAUGUGGGACGCUGCCUCAGCGUGGUUUGAUGAGCAGUGCCGUGUCCGCGCCCAGGAUUCCAACCAACGAAGCACUGGGCCGCCUGCAGCGGAGCGCGCGAACUUAACCACUCGGCCACGGGGCCAGCCCCCUUAAUGCAUUUUUUAAAUUCUGUAAGUGGGAAGGUUUUGGAACGGAGAAUCUUUUCCUGGGGAAAGUUUCAAAAAGACUCCCGCUGCAUCUCAGGGCUCCUCAGCGCCAAAGACCCACCGGCAGCAGCCCCAGGGCAUGGAGAACACCGCGCAAGGAAUCCUCGCCAAGCAUGCUGAGAAAACCCGGUGUUGGCUCCACCAAGCGGGGACCGGAGGUCGACUACGAUCCGAAGGGGGCUCGCUGUCACAGGUUUCUGUGUCCUGCUGUCUGUGGGCGGCAUCUUGCGGCCUGGCCCAGGGAAGCGACUGGAACGUGAGUCUGUCGGGUUCCUCUGCAGGAACCAACUCCCCUACGAUUGACUCUAACGUCUUCUGUGUGGCGGGCCAGAGGUCCGGAGUGGGCGGGGCUGGGCUUGGUUCCAAGGUGCCCUCGGAUCUGGGCAAGAGUCCGUUUUGCAGGCCAACCCUGGACAGCCGCCGGCUAGAACUAGAAAGCAGUUCCCAAUGGAAAUCACCGCCAGGGCAUAAGCACUCUUCCAGUACCGGGUAGAGGGAGCGGCCACGGCCCAGAAUCUUCGAAGCUCCGAGAGGACGGAGGCUGAGGCUCUGGCACCGCCUCUGCGGAAUCCCGAGCCUCCUUCACGGCGGCGAGAAAAUGCUGCUCCAUCGCUUAGGCCUCGGACCAGGACACAGGCGUUUGCGCUGAUCAAGGAGGCAAAGGCUUCAGCAGCACCAGCACUCCGGGUAUUUAUGCUCUCCAGGGCUCAUGGGCGGAGGGAAGGCAGCGAAUGCAAAACGGAGAUCAGUAGACAAUGAAAUACGAAAAAAAUUUAGAGAACAUAGAGAACCGACACAAGUCAUUCCGAUAUAAAGACAUAUCGAGACGAAAGCAAACGCAAUGAAACGGAACAAAAAGCAAACCGUGCAGAGAACCAACCCUACAAAACUCAGGGAGCGCUGAGCGGUGCACAGACCACGAAACCAAAUGUGGCCUCGGAGAACAAAACGGCGCAGCCGCUGGCCGCUGGGGCGCUGCGCUGGAGCGACGCUGCUGAAGAGAAACGCGAGAAACCCGUGGCGAUGCCGGCGGGGAGCAAACAGUGGUGCUGUUGCCAAAGACAAAUACUCCUUUUGGAGCGAUGAGCUGUGCUGUCAAAGAGAAACUGCCGGCUCUGAGGAGUAGUGCUGUGCCCCAGAGACAUCGGGCUUGGAGGAAUGAAAGUUGCUGCCACGGAGAAAAAAGCCCACUGACUGGGUGCAAAUGUGUUGUGACAGAAAAAGCGCCAUCUACCGCUACUAUGGAAAUUGCAAACGCGCACGGCGACUCCCUGCAAAUAUCUGAACAGGAAUCGUCAGCUGGCGCUCUGGGAGACGGAAGCGGUGCCGGAACCCAGACAGCGCAGAUCCUGCGCAGAGAGCGGGACGCGACAACUCCCACUCCGGCUGCUAGUGCGGCGAUCGCGCUGCCAGGAGCGCUGCUGCCUCUGAAACGCCUGUGACCUGGCGGAGGUAGCGGGGCACCAGGGAGAACUCUUGGCGAAAACAUCUGGGAUGAGACCGAAAAUCACCAGGAUCAAGGAAAGAAAGGAGAGGUGCGGCCGCCGAACCACACAUCCGGCCCGACCCAGAGCCGCCCGCUCCUUCCACUAGCGAUCUGAGGCCACUGAGGACCCACCGUCUCUGCUCUUAUCGCAGCCGCGGCCGAGGAAACGCUGACAGCGAGGACCUCAUGUUGCUGGGUCCCAGCGAUGCGGGCAAGGAGCACAGAGCGGUGCCGGCCCGAGAAACACCCAGCUCUGAGAACCAGCCGGUUUGGAGGAUUGAACGUGGGCUACCGAGAAAAUGCCGCUACCUGGAUGCAAAUGUGUCCUGUGGCAGGAAUCCCGCCGGCUCUGCGGACAAGCGAAGGUGCCAACGGGAACAGGAGCUCGGUGCGAGCGGCAGUGCUGGGACUGUGAGACCCUUCCAGGAAAACCAGCGACGCUGGCGCCCGGCGGUUCUAGGGGAAAUCAAAGGUGCUGCCCCCUAGAAAACGUCCAUUCUAUGCAAUUUAGGGCUCUGAUGCAAAUAAUCGAACAAAACGAAAAGGAAACAAAACACACCACAGGGCUCAGAGCUACUAGCGAAAGUGCUAAGGAUCGUCACAUGAGAAAGGAGAAAAUCCUGCCAUUUGCACCGACACAGGUGGAGACUGAGGGCAUUAUGCUAUGUUUAAUAAAUCAGAGAAAGAGAAAUACCGUGUGGUGUCUCCACAUGUGGAAUGUAAAAAGCUGCUCUCAUAGAAACAGAAGAAUGAUGGUUACCAGGGGCUGGGGGGUGGGGGAGAUGUCAGUCGAAGGGUACCAAUUUACAGGUAGAAAAUGAGUAAGUUCUGGGAUCUAAUGUACAGCAGGGUGACUGUAGUUAACAAUAAUGUUUAUACUUGAAAGUUGGUAAGAGAGUAGAUCUUAAAUGUUCUCACUAUAGAAAAGAAAUGGUAAUUAUGUAAGGUGAUUAAAGUAGCUGAUGCUAUAGGUGGCAAUCAUUUUGCAAUAUAUAAGUAGCAAAUCUACGUUUUAUACACCUUAAACUUACACAAUGUUAUAUGUCAAUUAUAUCUCAAUAAAGGUGGAAAAAAACCAACAAAAACAAAAUGAGUUUUCAUUUCCACUUUUUUUGGGGAAAGCAGCACCUCCGCCAGCAGAUGACUUUAGAAUGGCUGCGUUGAUCAAGCCUCAGGUCCAAGUGUGCAUUAGUCCCCUGCAAAUUCCAGGUUCCCCCCUAAACCCCGAUGUCACGCCAGAGCCCGGCGUACUGCUGCCCCCUAGUGGCGAGUCCACCGGC